GACGAACGCUGGCGGCGUGCUUAACACAUGCAAGUCGAACGAAGUGGCGAAAGGGUGAGUAACGCGUAAUCAACCUGCCCUUCAGAGGGGGACAACAGUUGGAAACUACUGCUAAUACCGCAUACUGAAGAAGGGGAUUGCGUCUGAUUGGCGGGUUGGGGGGGUAAAGGCCCCCCAAGGCGAUGAUCAGUAUCCGGUCUGGUAGGAUGAACGGCCACAUUGUGACUGAGACACGGCCCAGACUCCUACGGGAGGCAGCAGGGGGGAAUCGUCCGCAAUGGAAGAAAGGCUGACGGAGCAACGCCGCGGGGGGGAUGACGGCCUUCGGGUUGUAAAGCUCUGUUAAUCGGGACGCGGUACCGGAAUAGAAAGCCACGGCUAACUACGUGCCAGCAGCCGCGGUAAUUC
rnacentral:rRNA from 1 species